rnacentral:rRNA from 1 species
UACGUAGGGUGCAAGCGUUGUCCGGAAUUAUUGGGCGUAAAGGGCGCGUAGGCGAUUUAACAAGUCUUGUGUGAAAGCCCCGGGCUUAACUCGGGAAGUGCACAAGAAACUGUUGAAUUUGAGUUCCGGAGAGGAAGGCAGAAUUCCCGGUGUAGCGGUGAAAUGCGUAGAUAUCGGGAGGAAUACCAGUGGCGAAGGCGGCCUUCUGGACGGAUACUGACGCUGAGGCGCGAAAGCCAGGGGAGCAAACGGG